rnacentral:rRNA from 1 species
UACGGGGGGGGCAAGCGUUGUUCGGAAUUACUGGGCGUAAAGGGCUCGUAGGCUGCCAACUAAGUCGGACGUGAAAUCCCUCGGCUUAACCGGGGAACUGCGUCUGAUACUGGAUGGCUUGAGUUUGGGAGAGGGAUGCGGAAUUCCAGGUGUAGCGGUGAAAUGCGUAGAUAUCAGGAGGAACACCGGUGGCGAAGGCGGCUACCUGGACAGAAACUGACGCUGAGGCACGAAAGCUAGGGGAGCAAACAGG